rnacentral:rRNA from 1 species
ACUCCUACGGGAGGCAGCAGUGGGAAUAUUGCACAAUGGGAAGCAUCGAUGCAGCCAUGCCGCGCUGUGUGAAGAAGGCCAAUUCGGGCUUGGUUAAAGACACUUUUCAGCGAGGAGGAAAGGGUGUGUGUUAAUACCAUACAUCUGUGACGUUACUCGCAGAAGAAGCACCGGCUAACUCCGUGCCAGCAGCCGCGGUAAUACGGAGGGUGCGAGCGUUAAUCGGAAUUACUGGGCGUAAAGCGUGCGCAGGCGGUUUGUUAAGCGAGAUGUGAAAGCCC